rnacentral:misc_RNA from 1 species
AAAAUGCGAUAAGUAAUUUGAAUUGCAGAAUUCAGUGAAUCAUCGAAUCUUUGAACGCACAUUGCGCCCGCCAGUAUUCUGGCGGGCAUGCCUGUUCGAGCGUCAUUUCAACCCUCAAGCCCCCGGGUUUGGUGUUGGGGAUCGGGCUGCGGUUCUACCGCGUCCCGGCCCCGAAAUCUAGUGGCGGUCUCGCUGCAGCCUCCAUUGCGUAGUAGCUAACACCUCGCAACUGGAACGCGGCGCGGCCAAGCCGUUAAACCCCCAACUUCUGAAUGUUGACCUCGGAUCAGGUAGGAAUACCCGCUGAACUUAAGC